rnacentral:rRNA from 1 species
GAUAAACGCUGGCGGUGUGCUUUAUGCAUGCAAGUCGAACGAAUCAUUUCGGUGGUUAGUGGCAAACGGGUGAGUAACACGUAAGCAACCUGCCCUAAAGUGGGGAAUAACUCUGAGAAAUCGGAGCUAAUACCGCAUGUGGUGAUGGCGGUAACACGCCAUCAUUAAAGCCUUCGGGCGCUUUUGGAGGGGCUUGCGUCCGAUUAGCUAGUUGGUGAGGUAACGGCCCACCAAGGCAACUAUCGGUAGCUGGUUUGAGAGGACGACCAGCCACACUGGGACUGAGACACGGCCCAGACUCCUACGGGUGGCUG